GGGGCAAUUUGAUCAAUUGACCCCUAGAGCUGACUCUUGACCUAACUGUCAAAUAAAAUCGAAGAAAAGAAAAUUUCGGGAUCAAGAAUUAAAUUAAAGAAACAAGGAAAAAUAAAGAAAAAGAAAAAGUGAGAAAAACUACUUUAUUAUAUCACCUUACCUCAUAUAUGUGACAUCAUAAAUGAAAUUUUAAUUUCUUUACAUUUUUUACCAAGUCAAAAACAUUUAAUAAGACAUAAAAUACAAACAAAUUAAAAGAAAUUUCACUAUUUCUUCUCCACUCACUUCGGCCGCCCCAUCUCCCAUAGCUCCUCCAUGUGUAAACCUCCAUUAAAGUUUGUUUCAAGCUUGAAAUCCCUCACUUAACCCUAAUUUUUCCCCUAAUUACUUCAUAAAAGCUUGUUAUCUCAACUUAAGAAGGAGAUUGAAGAAGAAACCAAGAAGGAAAAGUGAAGAAAAUUGGUGAUUGGAAAAUCAAAGUUGAGGUUAGUAGUUUAAUUUGAAAUUCUAGUUUAAUACUUGUGCUUUUAGUUCACUUAACCUAGAAAUUAACUUAAAAUUAAAAGAAAACAAUUAUGGGGGACUAGAUGGGAAAUUCGGCC
rnacentral:misc_RNA from 1 species